GACGAACGCUGGCGGCGUGCUUAACACAUGCAAGUCGAACGGUGAAGCGCCUUCCUUUUUGGUGGGUGUGGAUGAGUGGCGAACGGGUGAGUAACACGUGAGUAACCUGCCCCCUUCUUCUGGAUAACCGCAUGAAAGUGUGGCUAAUACGGGAUAUUCUGGUUCUGUCGCAUGAUGGGUCUGUGAAAGAUAUUGUUUCGGUGGGGGAUGGGCUCGCGGCCUAUCAGCUUGUUGGUGGGGUGAUGGCCUACCAAGGCGGUGACGGGUAGACGGCCUGAGAGGGUGGACGGCCGGAGUGGGACUGCGACACGGCCCAGACUGCUACGGGAGGCAGCAGUGGGGAAUAUUGAACAAUGGGGGAAAGUCUGAUGCAGCGACGCCGCGUGAGGGAUGGAGGCCUUCGGGUUGUGAACCUCUUUCGCCAGUGAAGCAGGCCUGCCUCGUUUGUGGGUGGGUUGACGGUAGCUGGAUAAGAAGCGCCGGCUAACUACGUG
rnacentral:rRNA from 1 species